GCCAAUUGCAGAUAAAUGUUUCCGACCGCGUGUUUUCUGCAAGUCAUAUGCUCUGUUCUGCGAGUCAUCAGCUGCAUGAAUCCGGUGGUGAUGGGAGUUGCGCUGUGCCAGAUCGUGCGAAGGAGGUCUGAAUGCGAGCUGUUGUUUUUCCCCCUUCUGAAGCAGCUUUGCAUGUGAAGAAAAUUUGGGGGAAUGCACGGUUCAUGCUGCAAAUCGGCGGCAUUCAGCCCCGAGGAAUGGCCCUUUUUUCUAGUGUAGCAGGAGAAAUGGGGAUCGGAGGAAGGAGAAGGACCGGUGGCCUGUGAGCACUGGAAUCCUCCAUCCCACCGGGUAAGUCGCAAGUUGCUUUGGGGCGCCAUCGCCACGAGCAGCUAGCCUUGACCGAUUCGAUUGCCUGUUUGUGCUGUCGCCAUUGUCGUCUGAAUUACUGACCAGAUUCAGACAACGAACCUGUGGAGUAAUGCAUUCAUACAAGACAUGCUAGUUGCUAUGACUGUGUUAUGGUAUAUUCUUCUUCUUCAGUUAUGUGAAUUGUGUGUGUGCACUGAUCAAGGGUUUUUUGAAGUG